UCAGCAGCCGCGGUAAUACGGAGGUUCCAAGCGUUGUUCGGAAUUACUGGGCGUAAAGGGAGCGCAGGCGGACAGGUCAGUUUAAAGUGGAAUCCCAGGGCUCAACCCUGGACGUGCUUUGGAUACUGCCUGUCUUGAGUUCGUGAGAGGAAAGUGGAAUUCAGGGUGUAGCGGUGAAAUGCUUAGAUAUCCUGAGGAACACCAGUGGCGAAAGCGACUUUCUGGCACGAAACUGACGCUGAGGCUCGAAAGCAUGGGUAGCGAACGGGAUUAGAUACCCCGGUAGUCCAUGCCGUAAACGUUGUGUACUAGGUGCAGGAGGUAUCGACCCCUUCUGUGCCGAAGCUAACGCAUUAAGUACACCGCCUGGGGAGUACGCGCGCAAGCGUGAAACUUAAAGGAAUUGGCGGGGGAC
rnacentral:rRNA from 1 species